GCGCUCGUAGCUCAGGGGGAGAGCGCCUGCUUGACACGCAGGAGGUCACAAGUUCAAAUCUUGUCGGGCGCACCA
rnacentral:tRNA from 1 species